AUACGCGAUCUACUUAUUAUUCAAAAUAAGCAGAUAAAAGAAGAUACCCAAUUUGGUAUCACGAAUCAUAGGGGUUACGGUUUCUAUUUUACUAGGCCUGUAACACAAGGAUGCGGCACGUAUUUUUUGUCGCAAACUCAGAGAACCUGAGUCGAUUUUGAGGUUUAUAUAAAC
rnacentral:misc_RNA from 1 species